GCGCUCGCUUCGGCAGCACAUAGACUAAAAUUGGAACGAUACAGAGAAGAUUAGUAUGGCCCCUGCGCAAGGAUGACAUGCAAAUUCGUGAAGCAUCCCAUAUUUUU
rnacentral:snRNA from 1 species